rnacentral:misc_RNA from 1 species
CGUCAUUUAGAGGAAGUAAAAGUCGUAACAAGGUUUCCGUAGGUGAACCUGCGGAAGGAUCAUUACAAAUCUUUGUAUAGCUCUUAUGCUGUACGUUAACGCGGGACUUAUUGUCCCGACGUGUACUCGUUUAUGUUUUUGACUGUUUUUAGAGUAAUACAAAAUAAAAGACAACUUUUAACAAUGGAUCUCUAGGCUCUU